GAUGAACGCUGGCGGCGUGCCUAAUACAUGCAAGUCGAGCGAAUGGAUUAAGAGCUUGCUCUUAUGAAGUUAGCGGCGGACGGGUGAGUAACACGUGGGUAACCUGCCCAUAAGACUGGGAUAACUCCGGGAAACCGGGGCUAAUACCGGAUAACAUUUUGAACCGCAUGGUUCGAAAUUGAAAGGCGGCUUCGGCUGUCACUUAUGGAUGGACCCGCGUCGCAUUAGCUAGUUGGUGAGGUAACGGCUCACCAAGGCAACGAUGCGUAGCCGACCUGAGAGGGUGAUCGGCCACACUGGGACUGGGACCCGGCCCAGACUCCUACGGGAGGCAGCAGUAGGGAAUCUUCCGCAAUGGACGAAAGUCUGACGGAGCAACGCCGCGUGAGUGAUGAAGGCUUUCGGGUCGUAAAACUCUGUUGUUAGGGAAGAACAAGUGCUAGUUGAAUAAGCUGGCACCUUGACUGUACCUAACCAGAAAGCCACGGCUAACUACGUGCCAGCCGCCGCAGUAA
rnacentral:rRNA from 1 species